UCUUGCGAGUUAAUUAGCAUAAAUAAAUGCCCAAUUUAUUCCAGUUACUUUUCAAAUUCUGCAGUGCAGCCUAAUGUGUGAAGCGAGAAGUUUGGAUCUGGUGGUAGAAGUCCUUUGAACAUGGACAAAUCAAUACCAAAAUUGAUGUGGUUCUUACAAUCUUUGUGUACAGUGUUUUUUUGAGGAGUAAGUAGGUGGAGCACACGAGUGACGUGAUACUCCAAACUCUGACUGGAGACGUGAUACUCCAAACUCUGACUGGACUAACUCUUAGCAUCUCAUAAUGUAAUGUCUACACGAGAUGGAGCACGCCGCCUCGUCGAUGCAUGAGCCGGUGAGGUUUAAAUCAAGCUGUGCGUGUCUUGGUGAGAAUUUUUGGACUGCAUUUUGUGGUUGCGAAGGAAAUUGUGGGCGGUGUAGGAUCUAUACUGUACGUGGAUUGCAAUAGCUGGAUUGAUGGUAAGGUUUGAUCAAUGAACAUCAACAUAAUUUAUAGUUUGAUUUAGGACUAUGCAUCUUCUUGCACUGAUUUUCAUCUCUUUGGAGUUCCCUAAAGAAUCACUUUGAGUAAUGCUUAUUUCCCCCCAACUCUAAAUUGUACCAAUGAAAAGUAAUUACUUUGAGCAGAGAAGAGGAGGGCAGCAAGGAGGAACAUGGGGGCGUGUGGCUGGGGCGUUUCUCUUGCACUAGGGUCGGGAAGCGAUUUUGCAAUAGAUUUUAUAGGGGGUAGAAGGAGAGUUUGUGCGAGGGUGCAGGUGCGCCGGUGGUACUGGUUGAACCCAUGGAAGUUCUGAGCUCAUAAUUGCUAUGAAAUCUACACAAAAGUUUGUGAUUUUGUUAACCUGACUAGAGCUCGAUGUUCAUGUCAGUCCUUUAUUUAGAUGUUAACCUGCCAUUCCUUUCUAGAUGAUGACUUGCUGUUCUUCUACUAAGGCGGUGCAUCUAAGGUUUCUUUACUUGCUAACUGACUAUUCAGUUCAACAACGGCCCAUGCGGUAGAAUUGAGGCUGCAACUCUGGCACUUCAAAGAGGAAAGGAAAACAUGACUACUUCAUGGCGAGGUAAGGAGUGGCUUAAUUGAACCUGCUACAUUGUGAUUGUUACAUUGAGAUUGUUCAAUGACUCGUUUGUUAAUUUUGAUUUUAAUUAUACUGUUGAACAACUUAGAGAUGUCAUAAUAUAAUUAUAGAAAAUAUAUUAUGGUAUAUUUCCUACAGAGAUCAAGCAGAGCUGAUAUACCGCAUUUAGAUAACUCUGUGCAACAGUGUGGAACUAUCUGAAGUACAUUUUUUCUUAUAAAACCAAUGAUGAGCGAGUCCAUUAGGUUUUGUUCUGUGAUACAAAAGGUUAUAGACAACUUCACAAGAAAAAUCAUUGCAGCUUAGUCUUGACGACUACAAUUUCAAUUCGUUAUUCCAGUCUAGCACACAUGUUUUAUAGACUUUCUGUAAUAUCUAUUCUUGAACGCACGGACACUUAGCUAUACUGCCACAUACACCUAUGAGUGUCCAUGGCUUAAAAGUCUUCUCUCCAUUUUUUAGAUGAACUUUUUUGGACGGAGUCCAACCUCCCUGCCAUGUUUACAUUCACGACAGUUUCUAUUGAUACAUGCAAAUCCUUUAUACGCCGAUGAACAAUAAACAAUUAUGUCUUCUUUACAUUCCUCCUCAUAUACUUUUGUGGUUAUGGUACUUUGAUUAUAAGGUAGCAACUCUGUGGUCUGCAAUCCAUAGAAGUAUACUGAAUUAUGAUAUCCAUCGAUCUAAUUUUGUAUAGGAAGUUUCAAAAACUAAAGAAUCUGUGGUACAUGAUUUGAUUUACUCAUUUAGAUUUUAGUAAACUGUGAACGAAAGUUUUUUGCACAAAGCCAGUGCACCACCCUUUCUACACACAUCAUUCAUGGAUUGGCAGACUAAAGGUUCUAUUCCACAUCUUUGGUGUAGUUCAUAAAUGGGCUAGAGUAAAAAUAGACCAGAAUUGUUAUAUGUGCUUAGGGAAGUGGGAUUAGAUCAAGAUGCUUUUUGACAAAUGAGAAAUCAAUGGCUCAAGGAGAGUAAGCCCAAGGAGAUAAUUAUUGUUUUCCUUUAGUAGCUUGCCGCAUAAUUCAUUCAAGCAUAUUUAGAGUGGAGCGGGAAUAUUCAAACAAGGAAAUGUACACCAUAUCUGUUAGUAUACAUGUGACACUUUCAUGUCUUUCGACUAAUGAUGCCUCCUACCAGGUAUCACUAAUAGCACAUUCAUCACAACAUUUGUAUAGCUCAUUCUGGUGUAAGUCUGUCCAAUUUAGAAAGGAUUUUAAAGCGGAUUCAUACAGGUUAUAGAAGUUAGAGUCAAAUAAUAUAAUAAGUGAUUUGUAUAGAAGUCAGGCACAACCAUCCCUACCAUGGCAUCGGCGUGGCCUUCCCUGCCAGGCGCGGCGGCUCCUUGGUCCGAUCGCGGUGCUGAUGCAGAUGGAUCGACGAGGGUUAGCAGGCUCGCCGGCUGGUGUUUCCUCGGACGCAUCGCUGUUCCAAUCGUGAUGGCAUGACCAUAUGAGUCUACAAGACUUUGAGGCAGCUCAUUUGCGUGGAUGUUUGUGGCUGGGCACACAAUCCAUUAAUCCUUCAUAUUUUCGCACAGAAGAACGGAUGGUCCACUGUAGAAGAAGCACAAGCAUCAUGUGGCAUUGUAGUCAUUGGUGAAGAUUGAUAUGCACUCAAAUGCAAGACUUAUGAUGGUGUUUGGUACCGAUAAAGAUGAUUGGAAAGCCUCUUUCCAAGCAUAAGGUGAAUCUUGUAUAUUUCACUUUUCUGAAAACUAUAUCGCCAUUUAUUUAGCCAGUACGAUGUUUAUUUUCUAAAAACUGUAUUGCCCUUGUAGCCCUUGUAGGUAUUUUUCUUCUUGCGCUAGAACUGUCGGAGAUGCUUAACCCAGUCAGUUGCGACUAAGCUGUAACAUAACUAUAUUUAGAUCACCCUUGUACUGAACUUGUAGUCUGUCAUUCCCAUGUUUAUAACUGCUGACCUAACGUAGCAACAUAGAUUACAACAACCAGUAGUGAAUAGUGGCUACUUCAAAAUGUAUGGUAUUCCUACGCGGUGCUAGGAAUGCCUUUCCCCUUAGAUAUGUAGUUGCAUAAAACACUGGCAUAUAGAAAGAUCACGAGCAAAAAAAUACAUGCAAGUGUAUAUAAUGUCAUUUUACUUUAAGCAGAUAUCUAGGAAAACAAGGGUGGAAAUUGUGAUUUCAGAAGACUCGAAGUUUUCAAUGGGCAUGCAUCUUUUUUUUAUAUACUUCUCACACGGCUUAUCAAGUAUAUUGAGACGUUGUAACCAGACUAUAUUUGCAAAGUAAGGAUUAGCAGUUCAUGCUCCUAACCAGAUAUCCACAAAUCUUGUUUCAGUGCACCAUUUACGUUGCAUGAUGAUCUCUCAAUCCUUGUGUAUAUUGAGUAAUUCGGCAAAGAUGUAGUUUACUGAACACUUGCGUAUAUUGAAGUCGGUUUUAGUUCCAAUUUAGAAUAUACUAUCAUGCAUAUAAGCAUGUUAAGAGAAGCCUGAUUGAUUCGAUUGAUUUGCUAUAGAACUUUUUAUUAGACAUGAAGGUGUCUGCCCCUUUUUUUUACAAAAAAGAAGGUAUACCUACUUUGAACAAAAAUUGCUUGAUAUGUUUUCGAGUCGAGCGAGAAAACACUUGCUAAUCUCUUAUUCAUAUGCUAUUUUUGCGUAGCUUAGUUGUCCAUCUAGGGGUAUUGGUGGUCAUGCCGGAAGCCCGGAACAUAUGCUGAAUGAGGCAUCCAUGGUCAAGCUUCAAUAGACUUGCUAAAGUUAAAGAAGCUCAUGAUGAACUUUUGCAGACAAUGUUUCUGAUGUUCAAGAGAGAACUUUGUAAAUGAGGACAAUGUCGCGAGCUGCAAAUCUGUAAAUGAUGUUGAAGAGAGCUGUAAAUGUCUCUGCAACAACGGACCUGCAGCCUGUAGGUAAUUGGUCUUGUGUCUUCCAGCUGCAAUAAAACAAGUCUAAGCGAUCAAGGUCCUACUGUUCAAUUAAGCUGGCCGUUUGCUUGCUUUUGUGCCUACAACAUGCUCGCUGAAUUGUUUUGUCGUAGUAUGAAAGCUUGUAAGCGCCAGAUUGAGGUCCUACUAAUAAUAAAUUAAGGUCGUUGCUUGCUUGCUUGCUUUUUUUUUCUCAGUAUCGCAAGCUUUACUGUGAAUUAAAAGGAAUUGAGUUCCUCUGAGCACAGUUUAUUUAUUGGUGAACGGAAGGCCAUGUAAAGAGUAAAUGGCAAUGGAGCCUAAUAAAACAUAUACAUGGCGUCGUGUGCUGCAGAGUUGUAGCGUGUUCCUGCAUUUUGGAAUAUGGAAUAGAACAGAUACAUGACAUAUGAUAUGCUAGAUAUAAAUCUUCAGUUUGGAAUUAUCAAGUGCAGUUUGGUGUACUGUCAAUAUUAUUUCAGGUCUAGGUUUAAUUUAGAGUUCUUAUGGAUGUGAUAUUUGGCACAACCUGAUGUUUAAGGACAUCCAUGGUUUUUUUACAUGUUAGUCGGUCACCUCUCUCUCUCUCUCACCUCUCCCCCACAUGAGAGAGCAACCCCUCCAUCAUGGCGUAAACCUAGAAGACCGCCAUUGUCAGCGGCACCUUCCUCUCCCUCAACCACCCAGCGGUUGCAUCUGUCCUCCAUCUCCUUCGGGCCAUCCUUGGCUAGAUCAGCGGGGAUCGGAAACACGAGCACUCACUUACUCCACUUCUGCAACUUUGGGGCAGGAGAAGAAUAGCAUAAUUAUUAUGUCUGCAUGGAAGGUGCG